UACAGAGGGUGCGAGCGUUAAUCGGAUUUACUGGGCGUAAAGGGUGCGUAGGCGGUGAUAUGUGUGAUAUGUGAAAGCCCCGGGCUUAACCUGGGAAGUGCAUGUCAAACUAUAUGACUGGAGUAUAAGAGAGGGUGGCGGAAUUUCCGGUGUAGCGGUGAAAUGCGUAGAGAUCGGAAGGAACGUCAAUGGCGAAGGCAGCCACCUGGCUUAAUACUGACGCUGAAGCACGAAAGCGUGGGGAGCAAACAGG
rnacentral:rRNA from 1 species